rnacentral:rRNA from 1 species
GACGAACGCUGGCGGCGUGGAUUAGGCAUGCAAGUCGAACGGUAUCAUCCUUUCGGGGGUGAGAGAGUGGCGAACUGGUGAGUAACACGUAGGUUAUCUACCCUCAAGACGGGGACAACCCAGGGAAACUUGGGCUAAUACCGGAUGUGAGCAACUUUUAGUUGUUUGAAAGGUGGCGUAAGCUGUCGCUUGGGGAUGAGCCUGCGUCCUAUUAGUUAGUUGGUGAGGUAACGGCUCACCUAGGCAAUGAUAGGUAGGCGGCCUUAACGGGUGGUCGCCCACACUGGGAUUGAGAUACGGCCCAGACUCCUACGGGAGGCAGCAGUCGAGAAUAGUCUACAAUGGUCGGAAGACUGAUAGUGCGACGCCGCGUGAACGAUGAAUCCCUUCGGGGUGUAAAGUUCUUUUAUAUGUGAGCAGUGCUUCUUAUAUUAACAGUAUGGGGAGAGAUAUUAGCAUAUGAAUAAGCAACGGCUAACUCCGUG